rnacentral:rRNA from 1 species
UACGUAGGGGGCUAGCGUUGUUCGGAAUUACUGGGCGUAAAGAGCGUGUAGGCGGCCAAGCAGGUCUGUUGUGAAAACUGGAGGCUCAACCUCCAGACGUCGACAGAAACCGCUUGGCUAGAGUCCGGAAGAGGAGAGUGGAAUUCCUGGUGUAGCGGUGAAAUGCGCAGAUAUCAGGAAGAACACCAAUGGCGAAGGCAGCUCUCUGGGACGGUACUGACGCUGAGACGCGAAAGCGUGGGGAGCGAACAGG